rnacentral:lncRNA from 1 species
GGCCCAAACUCAUAAUGGAGACUAGAAGGCCUAUCAUACAUGUGUAGACCAGGGCCAUAUGCAUUCUGUAACACCCCCAACCCGUAUCCGUCGCCGGAAUUGGGUUACGAAGCAUUACCGAACAUAUCGGAUAACUUAUCACUAAUUCACAAAUAAAUAACAUACAUAGCAUACUUUAAUUAAUACAUUACCUAAAUACAUGCCACAAUAUCAAAAGAAAGACACAUCACUAAAAUUUAUCUGAGGUCGGGAUUGCUCUUGAUGCUGGACCGGACACUGGCUUUCUACUAACCUGCACACGGAGACAACCGUACGCUGAGUAUAGGAAUACUCAGUGGUAUUACCAUAAUUCAAAUUAAUAACAUUAAUCGAUAAAUUAUAGACAUUUAAAUUUAUGUCAACAAUUAUUCAUUAAUUAUCUCGUACUUUAAAUCAACUUGAUAAUUAAUAACAAUAAGCAAUGUUUCAAUCUUAUAUUUAAUUGUAUUCAUACCUUAUUUCACUAUCUAAAUUUUUAUUGGAUUUUUCAACAACAAUUAUAAUAACUAAUUUUAUAAAAUUGUAUUCAAAUUAACUCAUACACUAUUUCUUAAUUCAAUUUAUACCAUUAAUCUUUCAAUAAACAUUUAAUACAUUAAAUCAACUUGUUUCAACAACAACAAUAAUAAUAAUAAUUAUCUUUUCAUUCGAUUCGUUCAUUUAUAAUCAAUUUACACUUAUAAUCUUUUAACACUCAAUUUAUUCAUUAAAUCCAUAAAUAAAUUUCAAUAACUUGUAUUCAAUUAAAUUCACAUACUAUUUCACUAUUUCAAAUCAUUUUAUUUUCACUUCUCAUUUCUCAACAAUAGCUAUUUUAAUUUGCUUUUCUUCACUUAGAUUUUUACAUCAUCUCAUACUACCAAAACCACCUCAUGAACUAUAUCAUUAUCUAUUUCUUGAACCCAUGGUUCAUACAUUUCAUUUUCUAUAUCUCAAUUUAAUAUCUCUUUUUGAUUCAUAUUCAAGAUCAUUCAAUAAAAUUUAUAUUAUCAAAAUUAUUCAUUUACCCCUAUUAACUUGACUCGGACUCUGACAGAUACGCGGAUUCCACCCAAACACACCACAAUAUCCAACCAAAACACACCCGAAAUAAAUAUAAAUCCUCCAUAACACACCAAUAUAUCAUAUCCUCCCAAACACACCAAUAAGGCAUUAAAUGCCUCUUCGGAUAAACCGAAGCAUAUAAUAACAUAAUCAUCUUCUCGACCGAGCUACAAAUCUCCUCAUCACAUCACAAAUCCUAUGGCAUGCCAUUUGUAUCCAAUCUAGUCCGAUAAGUUAAUAGGGUAUUCGAAUCACAUUUCAAUUCAAUCACUUUCUCAUACUUUCAAUUCCAAUUUAAUCACAAUUUAAUUCAAUACAUUUUUCACCUUCCAAUCAGUAUACCAUCAAAUGCUCAUACAUAUUCAUACUUCAUUUUAAUUUCAUUCAAUUCACAUACGAUUCAAUAUCAUUUAAUUCAAUAUCGAUAUUCACCUUAUUUUUAUUUACUAAACAUAUUAUUCAAAAUUCAACAAUUGCUAUUAAUAAAUUCAAUAUCAAUACGUAUUUAUCAUUCAAUUCAAUCAUGAUACUUACUUCAAUUUACUUAUCAUGUAUAUUAAUUUAAAUUUUAACAAUUAAUAAUUAAAUUCGAAUUAUGGUAAUACUAACCGUAAAUUUUCUCGAGUCACUCCUUGUUCACCUUCUCCUUUCCUUUAUCGGAUAAUGACUCUCGCACGACAUUAGCUACGUAAUUAAACAAUUAAAAAUCAUUAAUACACAAUUUCAUCAAAAUAGUUCCAUUUAUACCUAAACUUUACCUAAAUUCUAAUUUAAUCCCUUAUCAAUACUAAUUUUAUUUUCCCAAUCUAACUCCAUAUUCUCUCUUAAUUCUUACUAUAAACUCAUUUUAACUUUUCAUUUUCACCAUAAAUUCCUAAUUUCGAAAUUCUCUCAAUUUAGUCCCUAUUAAUUCAAAGCCUAUAAUUUAUUUUACAAAUCAACCUUUUACUAACUUCUAACUUAAAAUUUAAUCAAUUUAACCCCUAAUUCUUUCAUUUAUUCAACAUAAUCAAUGUCUAGAAAUAUAAUAACUUCUCAAAUUUCAACAUAAAUCCAAUAAUACUUUGUUCUAGAGUACCAAACACUCAAAAUUAUAAGAAAAUGACUUAAUUUGACUUACCAAUUGAGCUUGGAAUCUUGAAAUCCCAAAUUUUCUUCCUUUCCUUCCCUUUUUUUUCUUUUUCUUUCCUUCCCUUCUUUCCUUCUCUGUUUCGUUUGCCUAUUCUGUUUCUAUUCCCUUUUUCUAUCUUUUAUUUCUUUUAUUUAAUUAGUUUAAUAU